rnacentral:rRNA from 1 species
UACAGAGGUCUCAAGCGUUGUUCGGAUUCAUCGGGCGUAAAGGGUGCGUAGGCGGCGCGGUAAGUCGGGUGUGAAAUCUUGGAGCUUAACUCCGAAACUGCAUUCGAUACUGCCGUGCUUGAGGACUGGAGAGGAGACUGGAAUUUACGGUGUAGCGGUGAAAUGCGUAGAUAUCGUAAGGAAGACCAGUGGCGAAGGCGGGUCUCUGGACAGUUCCUGACGCUGAGGCACGGAAGGCCCAGGGGGAGCAAAACGGGG